rnacentral:rRNA from 1 species
CCUACGGGAGGCAGCAGUGAGGAAUAUUGGUCAAUGGCCGGAAGACUGAACCAGCCAAGCCGCGUGAGGGAGGAAGGCACAGAGCGUCGCAGACCUCUUUUGCCGGGGGACAAAAGGCCGGACGGGUCCGGUUCUGAGGGUACCCGGAGAAAAAGCAUCGGCUAACUCCGUGCCAGCAGCCGCGGUAAUACGGAGGAUGCGAGCGUUAUCCGGAUUCAUUGGGUUUAAAGGGUGCGCAGGCGGUCUGUUAAGUCAGCGGUCAAAGCCCGGGGCUCAACCCCGGCCCGCCGUUGAAACUGGCAGUCUCGAGUUGGAGAGAAGUAUGCGGAAUGCGCGGUGUAGCGGUGAAAUGCAUAGAUAUCGCGCAGAACUCCGAUUGCGAAGGCAGCAUGCCGGCUCCACACUGACGCUGAGGCACGAAAGCGUGGGUAUCGAACAGGAUUAGAUACCCUGGUAGUC